rnacentral:lncRNA from 1 species
CAUUGGAGAAAAGAUAGGCUCUUCAACAAAUGGUGCUGGGAAAACUGGAAAUCCACAUGUAAUAAAAUAAAAUUAAACCUCUAUCUCUCACCAUGCACAAAACUCAACUCAAAGUGGAUCAAGGGCCUAGGAAUUAAACUCCUAUGGCGAAUUAAAAACAGAAUCAAUAAAUGGGAUGGAUUCAAAAUAAAAAGCUUCUUCUCAGCAAAAGAAACAAUCUGUGAGGUGAAUAGAGAGCCUACAGAAUGGGAGCAAAUCUUUACCACAAGUACAUCACAUAGAGCACUAAUCUCUAGGAUACAUAAAGCACUCAAAAACCUUAACAGAAAAAAAAAAAAAAAACAAGUAACCCAAUCAAUAAAUGGAUCAAGGAACUGAACAGACACUUCUUGGAAGAGGAUAUACAAUCAAUCAACAAACAUAUAAAAAAUGUUCAACAUUUCUAGCUUAGAGAAAUGCAAAUCAAAACUAAGAUUUCAUCUCACUCCAGUCAGAAUGGCAGCUAUCAAGAAUAUGAACAACAAUAAGUGUUGGUGAGGAUGUGGGGAAAAAAGCACACUCAUACACUGCUGGUGGGACUGCAAAUUGGUACAGCCAAUGUGGAAAGCAGUAUGGAGAUUCCUUAGAGAACCUGGAAUGGAACUACCAUUUGACCCAGCUAUCCCUCUCCUCGGUUUAUACUUACUUAAAGCACUUAAAAAACAGCAUACUACAGGAACACAGCCACAUCAAUGUUUAUAGCAGCACAAUUCACAAUAACUAAACUGUGGAACCAAGCUAGAUGCCCUUCAGUAGAUGAAUGGAUAGGGAAAAAUUUGAUAUAUAUAUACACAAUGGAACAUUACUCAGCAUUAAAAGAGAAUAAAAUCAUGGCAUUUGCAGGUAAAUGGAUGAAGUUGGAGAAUAUAACGCUAAGUGAAGCAACCAAUCCCCAAAAAACCAAAGGCCAAAUGUUUUCUUUGAUAUGAGGACUCAGAGGUAUAAUGGUGAUGGGUUGGUGG